AGCAAACCCGAUGCUGGGGCAGAAGGGGGCCAGCCGGGCAUGGAGAUGGGGAAGCUGUGUCCAUUGAGCGAUAGGGACCGUUGAUUGGCCGUCCGCGUGGCCAAUGGGAUUAUGUAGAGGAAGGAAGAAACGUUCCCGUUCAGGGGGGCGGAAGAUGGCGGCUGGAACGGGCCCGGGGGUCCCGAACGGGGGCCCCGAGGUGCCAAACCGCGACCGUGGCGCCUUCGAAUGUAACAUCUGCCUGGAGCCGGCCCGGGAGGCGGUGAUCGGGCUUUGCGGGCACCUGUACUGCUGGCCCUGCCUGCACAGGUGGCUGGGGGGC